rnacentral:rRNA from 1 species
CUUCUUUCCUCCCGAGUGCUUGCACUCAAUUGGAAAGAGGAGUGGCGGACGGGUGAGUAACACGUGGGUAACCUGCCCAUCAGAGGGGGAUAACACUUGGAAACAGGUGCUAAUACCGCAUAACAGUUUAUGCCGCAUGGCAUAAGAGUGAAAGGCGCUUUCGGGUGUCGCUGAUGGAUGGACCCGCGGUGCAUUAGCUAGUUGGUGAGGUAACGGCUCACCAAGGCCACGAUGCAUAGCCGACCUGAGAGGGUGAUCGGCCACACUGGGACUGAGACACGGCCCAGACUCCUACGGGAGGCAGCAGUAGGGAAUCUUCGGCAAUGGACGAAAGUCUGACCGAGCAACGCCGCGUGAGUGAAGAAGGUUUUCGGAUCGUAAAACUCUGUUGUUAGAGAAGAACAAGGACGUUAGUAACUGAACGUCCCCUGACGGUAUCUAACCAGAAAGCCACGGCUAACUACGUGCCAGCAGCCGCGGUAAUACGUAGGUGGCAAGCGUUGUCCGGAUUUAUUGGGCGUAAAGCGCACGCAGGCGGUCUGUCAAGUCGGAUGUGAAAUCCCCGGGCUCAACCUGGGAACUGCAUUCGAAACUGGCAGGCUAGAGUCUUGUAGAGGGGGGUAGAAUUCCAGGUGUAGCGGUGAAAUGCGUAGAGAUCUGGAGGAAUACCGGUGGCGAAGGCGGCCCCCUGGACAAAGAC